UUCAGCGNGACGGGUAGCCGGCCUGAGAGGGCGACCGGCCACACUGGGACUGAGACACGGCCCAGACUCCUACGGGAGGCAGCAGUGGGGAAUAUUGCACAAUGGGCGAAAGCCUGAUGCAGCGACGCCGCGUGAGGGAUGACGGCCUUCGGGUUGUAAACCUCUUUCAGCAGGGAAGAAGCGAGAGUGACGGUACCUGCAGAAGAAGCGCCGGCUAACUACGUGCCAGCAGCCGCGGUAAUACGUAGGGCGCAAGCGUUGUCCGGAAUUAUUGGGCGUAAAGAGCUCGUAGGCGGCUUGUCACGUCGGAUGUGAAAGCCCGGGGCUUAACCCCGGGUCUGCAUUCGAUACGGGCAGGCUAGAGUUCGGUAGGGGAGAUCGGAAUUCCUGGUGUAGCGGUGAAAUGCGCAGAUAUCAGGAGGAACACCGGUGGCGAAGGCGGAUCUCUGGGCCGAUACUGACGCUGAGGAGCGAAAGCGUGGGGAGCGAACAGGAUUAGAUACCCUGGUAGUCCACGCCGUAAACGUUGGGAACUAGGUGUGGGCGACAUUCCACGUCGUCCGUGCCGUA
rnacentral:rRNA from 1 species